rnacentral:snRNA from 1 species
AUGCUCACUUUGGAAGCACUUAUGCUAAAACUAGAGCAAUACAGAGAAGAUUAGCAUGGUCCCUACAACAUGCAAAUUCAUGAAGCAUUCCAUAUUUUU